AAUGUGGCUCAAGUUGGGAGGCGUUACCUGCGGAGGGUUUGAGGCACGCCCAGGAGCGAGCCCACGGUCGGCCGACGCGGGGCCAGGGGCGGGCCCCAGGAUCCGGAGCUUCGGGCGGGGCCGAGUCUGGGUUUGGGGCCCGGGAGGCGGGGCCAGUUAGGGCGAGGGUCCCUGGGAUCGUCGGGUCAGGCCUUGGGCUAACGUAGACACUCUCGCAGUACCUCCGCCUUCAGGAAGGUCUUUUUAGCAGGGGCCUUACAGGUGCACGCUUCGGUCCUGGAGGCCUUAUCCUAACCUCUCCAUCAGCGCCACCCGUCUGGGGCCCGAAAGGAGGGAGCUUUCCCUCUGUCCUCCAGCCUUUGGACUGUCUCCAAACAAGCCAUUCGUUCACCAAAUACUUAUUAAGCACCUACCAUGUGCCUGACAAGGGAGAUGUAACGCUGUUGUUCCCCACCAGAACCAAAUGAGCGCAAGAUCUGACAAAGAAAAAAAAGUCCCUCUAUCCUGAGAUGGAGUCACCUGAGGAUCCACAGCAAGUCCUAACCAGGGAUGGGUCUGGGUGAUUAAGGAAGGUUGGCUUCAGAACUGGGCCAGGGGCACUGCUUUGCUUUUGCUGUUUUGAUCAGCUCUCUGCCUGCAGGAGACAAGGAAAACCAAUGGGAACAGCCCAGUAAAGGCUCCAUUCCCCAUUUUACAGCUGGGGAAACUGAGUUACAGAGCUUUUCUGCACUGAGUCAUCAGGAGCAAAUGCUAGAUCAGAUAGGGUCUCUCUCUCUGCCACCCAGGCCAGAGUGCAGUUGACGCAGGGCAGGGGAGCCCCGAAGUGGAGCAUAGUGUGUCCGGAACUGGUGGGUUCUUGGUCUCACUGACUUCAAGAAUGAAGCCGUGGACCCUCACGGUUCAAGCGAUUCUCCUGCCUCAGCCUCC
rnacentral:lncRNA from 1 species